UUCGAUUCCGGAGAGGGGGCCUGAGAGAUGGCUACUACAUCUAAGGAUGGCAGCAGGCGCGAAAAUUACCCAAUACAAAUUCUGUGAGGUAGUGACAAGAUAUAACGACCUUACAUUUUCGCAAUGGAAGGGUACCGUGUUAAAAGCGGUUUGGAAUGUUUCUAGUUCAAAAUCCUAUUAGAGUAACAAUUGGAGGACAAGUCUGGUGCCAGCACCCGCGGUAAUUCCAGCUCCAAAAGCAUAUACUAAAAUUGCUGUAGUUAAAACGCUCGUAGUUGAUAUAAGAAUAGCUUCUGAACAACCUGUCUACUCUUCUCUGUAUAUCAUGGUAGCAAUACCAGAAGUGUACUUAAAAUGGUGACUGUAAAAGCAGGAACUGGGGGGUAGGUCUUAAGGCGUAAUCAAACUGGCUAGCCAAUGUCAGUCUUCUUCCGUUGGUUAGUUGGGCGUAGGUGAAACGGAAGCUGCUUCGAUAUAAACCGUGAACAAAUUAGUGUGCUUAAGGCAAGCAGCGUGAAGAGCCGCCUCUGGUGGUUUCUUUGAGUUUGAAUAAUUUAGCAUGGUACUUCAAAUCCCGCAAGGGAACGAAUAACGGAAGGGAUCAAGGACUCUGGUAUUGCGCGUCUAGAGGUGAAAUUCCGAUAUUUUCGCAAGACGAACGGAGGCGUAAGCGGUCGUGUCCAUUGUGUCUUCAUUGAUCAGGAACGAGAGUCAGGGGAUCGAAGAUGAUUAGAUACCGUCGUAGUCCUGACUGUAAACGAUGCCAACUCAAGUUCAAGUGUGAUACAUAAAUUCGAUCUUCUUGGAAUUGACGGGAAACCAUUAAGUCAUUGGGUUCUGGGGGGAGUAUGGUCGCAAGGCUGAAACUUAAAGGAAUUGACGGAAAGACACCACCAGGAGUGGAGUUUGCGGCUUAAUUCGACCCAACGCGGGAAAACUCACCAGGACAGGAUAGUGUCGAGAUUGACAGGUGAAAGAGUCCUUUCUUGAUUCACUAGUUGGUGGUGCAUGGUCGUUCUUAGUUCGUGGAGUGAUCUGUCUACUUAAUUGUGCCAACGAACGAGACCUUGGCCCUUAAUUAGGUGCUAGGCGGCAGGGGUAACUCUGACGUUCAUUUUUUCGGAAAUCUAGUUCACAAUCCUAUGGAUACUUCUUAAGGGGACAAGACGACGUUGACUAUGACGCAGCGUAAGGAAGAGCAAGGCAAUAACAGGUCUGUGAUGCCCUUAGAUGCCCUGGGCGGCACGCGUACUACAAUGUUAUUUGCAACGAGUUAAAACAGUUUCUGAUCCCGCGCCUAAGAGGCGUAGGUAAUCUGGUAAAUAGGUAACAAGACAGGGAUAGAUGUUUGUAAAUACAUCUUGAACGAGGAAUUCCUAGUAAGCGCAAGUCAUGAUCUUGCAUUGAUUACGUCCCUGUCUUUUGUACACACCGCCCGUCGCUCCUACCGAUGGAAUGUUGAAAUGAACCUAAUGGAUAGCUUGAUAUUAGUUAAAUUUUGUCAUUUGUAGGAAGGAGAAGUCGUAACAAGGUCUUCGUAGGUGACC
rnacentral:rRNA from 1 species